UGACGGCCAUAUACCGCUGAAACACCGGUUCUCGUCUGAUCACUGAAGUUAAGCAAGUUUGGUCAGUAACUAGAUAGGUGACCGUUUGGAAAUACCACGUGAUGUAA